rnacentral:rRNA from 1 species
GAUGAACGCUGGCGGCGUGCCUAAUACAUGCAAGUCGAGCGAACAGAUGAGGAGCUUGCUCCUCUGACGUUAGCGGCGGACGGGUGAGUAACACGUGGAUAACCCACCUAUAAGACUGGGAUAACUUCGGGAAACCGGAGCUAAUACCGGAUAAUAUAUUGAACCGCAUGGUUCAAUAGUGAAAGACGGUUUUGCUGUCACUUAUAGAUGGAUCCGCGCCGCAUUAGCUAGUUGGUAAGGUAACGGCUUACCAAGGCAACGAUGCGUAGCCGACCUGAGAGGGUGAUCGGCCACACUGGAACUGAGACACGGUCCAGACUCCUACGGGAGGCAGCAGUAGGGAAUCUUCCGCAAUGGGCGAAAGCCUGACGGAGCAACGCCGCGUGAGUGAUGAAGGUCUUCGGAUCGUAAAACUCUGUUAUUAGGGAAGAACAAAUGUGUAAGUAACUAUGCACGUCUUGACGGUACCUAAUCAGAAAGCCACGGCUAACUACGUG